UACGAACCGUACAAACGUUAUUCGGAAUCACUGGGCUUAAAGGGUGCGUAGGCGGCCAUGUAAGUGGGGUGUGAAAUCCCUCGGCUCAACCGAGGAACUGCGCUCCAUACUGCAUGGCUUGAGGGAGACAGGGGUAAGCGGAACUGAUGGUGGAGCGGUGAAAUGCGUUGAUAUCAUCAGGAACACCGGUGGCGAAAGCGGCUUACUGGGUCUCUUCUGACGCUGAGGUACGAAAGCUAGGGGAGCGAACGGG
rnacentral:rRNA from 1 species